UACGGAGGGAGCUAGCGUUAUUCGGAAUUACUGGGCGUAAAGCGCACGUAGGCGGCUUUGUAAGUCAGAGGUGAAAGCCUGGAGCUCAACUCCAGAACUGCCUUUGAGACUGCAUCGCUUGAAUCCAGGAGAGGUGAGUGGAAUUCCGGAGUGUAGAGGUGAAAUUCGUAGAUAUUCGGAAGAACACCAGUGGCGAAGGCGGCUCACUGGACUGGUAUUGACGCUGAGGUGCGAAAGCGUGGGGAGCAAACAGG
rnacentral:rRNA from 1 species